AAUAGAUACCCGGGUAGUCCACGCCGUAAACGAUGAGUGCUAAGUGUUAGGGGGUUUCCGCCCCUUAGUGUUUCUGUAGCUAACGCAUUAAGCACUCCGCCUGGGGAGUACGGUCGCAAGACUGAAACUCAAAGGAAUUGACGGGGGCCCGCACAAGCGGUGGAGCAUGUGGUUUAAUUCGAAGCAACGCGAAGAACCUUACCAGGUCUUGACAUCCCAUUGACCGCUAUGGAGACAUAGCUUUCCCUUCGGGGACAGUGGUGACAGGUGGUGCAUGGUUGUCGUCAGCUCGUGUCGUGAGAUGUUGGGUUAAGUCCCGCAACGAGCGCAACCCUUGUUCUUAGUUGCCAUCAUUUAGUUGGGCACUCUAAGGAGACUGCCGGUGACAAACCGGAGGAAGGUGGGGAUGACGUCAAAUCAUCAUGCCCCUUAUGACCUGGGCUACACACGUGCUACAAUGGACGGUACAAACGGUUGCCAACCCGCGAGGGGGAGCUAAUCCGAUAAAACCGUUCUCAGUUCGGAUUGUAGGCUGCAACUCGCCUACA
rnacentral:rRNA from 1 species